rnacentral:lncRNA from 1 species
GUUGGGGUCACCCCAUUCCUUCCCCCCCCCCCUCCCCUAAAUCCCCCACCCCCGGUUCCUCUCCUGGGGUGAGCCACCUCCCCGCGCCGCCAGCCUUCGCUUCCUGCUCCUCCUCCUCCUCCUCCUCCCUGUCCCCAACCUGCGAGCCCUGGCGGGGCCCCAGCACCCAUCCCACAGCCGCGCGUCCCCAACCCCAUUUGUCCCAGUCCCAUUUCCCCCCCUCCCCAGGGCAGGAUCCAGCCCCUGACCCCCCCUUGUUCGAGCACGAGGGGGCCGUGCCCGUGCCUCAGUUUCCCCAGCGGUGAUGCCCCGGUUGGAUUUUUAGGGCACAACCCUUCACCGGGGGGGGGGGGGGGGUGACACAGCUCUCCUGGGGACAUUUAGGGACGAGUGCCAAGCUGCUGGAGCCCCGGCAGGAGGUGGGGACCUGUUCCGAGCCGUGCCGAGCCAAGAACACCCCGGUCCCUAUGGGGUCAGGGCAGGGCCUGGCACCCCGUGGCGGUGCCGUGGGGAGCGCAGCCACCCCAGGGGACCUGCGGUGGCACCGAGCCGAGGCUGCUGCCUGUUUGUGGGGAGGAAACGGCCCCAAAACCGGCUGUGCCGUGCCCCAGCCCUACAGCUCCGGCACGGGGCAGAGCCUACACGGCGCCACGGACGCCUCCCGCAGCGGGUACGGUGUCACCGGUGUCACCCACAUCCCCGUGCUUCGUGUCCCCGUGUCCCCACAUCCUCGUGUCCAUGAGUCCCUACAUCCCCAGAUCCCUGUGUCCCCAUGUCCCCACAUUGUUUGUCCCCAUGGCCCUGUGUCCUCAUAUCCCCAUCCUCCUGUGUCCCCAUAUCCCACAUCCCCAUGUCCCUGUGUCCCCACAUCCCCACAACCCCAUGGCCCUGUGUCCUCCGACCCCAUGCUCCUCAUGUCCCCAUGUCCCCACAUCCCCAUGUCCCCCAGUCACGUCCCCAAGCCCCCAUACUCCAGUGUCCCCGUGUCCCCACAUCCCCCUGCCCAUGUCCUCACACCCCAUGCUCCCCAGUCCCCAUGUCCCACAUCCUCGUGUCCCUAAAUCCCCAUGCUCCUGUGUCCCCAUGCCCUGCAUCCCCAUGUCCCCAUCAACCCCGUGUCCAUGUACCCACACCCCAUGUCCCCCAGCCAUGUCCCCACGCCCCCAUUCUCACAUGUCCCCAUGUCCCCAAAUCCCCCUGCCCGUGUCCCUACAACCCCAUGUCCCCCAGUCACCUCCCCAUGCCCCCAUUCUCCCCUGUCCCCACGUCCCCACAUGCUUGUGUCCCCAAAUCCCCAUGUCCCCACACCCCCCAGCCACAUCCCCAACCCCCCAUAACCCCCUCCCCAUGUCCCCACCCCUCCUCCCCGAGCCCCCCUGCCCCGUGCCCCCUCCCCGUUCCCCCCCGCUCCGCAUCCACCCAAGGCUGCGGGACCCCGGAGAUGGGGAAACUGAGGCACGGGGAGGGGGGGGGACACGGGGACACCCCCGGUGCUUCGGGGCGACCCGGGACCGGCAGGGGGCGCCGCCGUCCCCCCCACCCCGGGGCGGAUAAAGGCGGCGGCGGCGGCGGCGGCAGCGGCAUGGCCCGGGGGGGGCUCCGCCUGCUGCUCUGCUGCGCCGCUGCCCUGCUGGCUGCAGGUACCGGGGCACCGGGCACCGGGUGGGAUUGGGCAUCCCGGGGGUCCCGGCUGAUGGGGACCCCCCCCCCGGGGGACACCGGCACCGGGGGCUGGGGUGUGCGGGGGGCGCGGGGGGCGCGGUGCAGCGGGUGGGCUGCGUGCUGCAGGGGUACCGGGGGGGUGCUGGUGGUCUGUGGGGGUGUCCCCCCCUUGAUUUGAAGGGGACCCGGGGGGGCUCAGCCCCGGGGGCUUGGAGCGGGGCAACCCCACUGGGGGCAGGACGCAGCCCCAGCUGCUGGUGGGGGGCUUUGGGGUGCCGAGCCCCCACCCAGGACACGUGGCUGGCACCCAGGUCCAUGCUGUGUCACCUCCCCGUGUCCUCGUCUGCGUCCCUUUUCCCAGGAAGGGCCCGUCCCG